AGAGUUUGAUCAUGGCUCAGGACGAACGCUGGCGGCGUGCCUAACACAUGCAAGUCGAGCGGGGAGAAGAAUUCGUUUUUCUCUUUAGCGGCGGACGGGUGAGUAACACGUGGGUAACCUGCCUCAAAGAGGGGGAUAGCCUUCCGAAAGGAAGAUUAAUACCGCAUAAUAUCAGGAAGCUGCGUGGCAUUCUGAUCAAAGGAGCAAUCCGCUUUGAGAUGGACCCGCGGCGCAUUAGCUAGUUGGUGAGGUAACGGCCCACCAAGGCGACGAUGCGUAGCCGACCUGAGAGGGUGAUCGGCCACAUUGGAACUGAGACACGGUCCAGACUCCUACGGGAGGCAGCAGUGGGGAAUAUUGCACAAUGGGGGAAACCCUGAUGCAGCAACGCCGCGUGAGUGAUGAAGGCCUUCGGGUCGUAAAGCUCUUUGAUCAGGGACGAUAAUGACGGUACCUGAAAAACAAGCCACGGCUAACUACGUGCCAGCAGCCGCGGUAAUACGUAGGUGGCGAGCGUUGUCCGGAUUUACUGGGCGUAAAGAAUGCGUAGGUGGAUAUUUAAGUGGGAUGUGAAAUCCCCGGGCUCAACCCGGGAACUGCAUACCAAACUGGAUAUCUGGAGUGCAGGAGAGGAAA
rnacentral:rRNA from 1 species